UAGCGUAUAUUUAAGUUGUUGCAGUUAAAAAGCUCGUAGUUGGAUUUCGGUUGAGUAGCGGCCGGUCCGCCGUUUGGUGUGCACUGGCUGGUUUCAGCUUCCUGCAGAGGACGCGCUCUGGGCUUAAUCGUCUGGACGUGGAGUCUGCGUGGUUACUUUGAAAAAAUUAGAGUGUUCAAAGCGGGCUUACGCUUGAAUAUUUCAGCAUGGAAUAACACUAUAGGACUCCUGUCCUAUUUCGUUGGUCUCGGGACGGGAGUAAUGAUUAAGAGGAACAGUUGGGGGCAUUCGUAUUUCAAUGUCAGAGGUGAAAUUCUUGGAUUUUUGAAAGACGAACUUCUGCGAAAGCAUUUGCCAAGGAUGUUUUCAUUAAUCAAGAACGAAAGUUGGGGGCUCGAAGAUGAUUAGAUACCAUCCUAGUCUCAACCAUAAACGAUGCCGACUAGGGAUUGGCGGAUGUUAAUUGAUGACUCCGCCAGCACCUUAUGAGAAAUCAAAGUUUUUGGGUUCCGGGGGGAGUAUGGUCGCAAGGCCGAAACUUAAAGGAAUU
rnacentral:rRNA from 1 species